rnacentral:rRNA from 1 species
GGAUGAACGCUGGCGGCGUGCCUAAUACAUGCAAGUCGAGCGAACAGACGAGGAGCUUGCUCCUCUGACGUUAGCGGCGGACGGGUGAGUACCACGUGGAUAACCUACCUAUAAGACUGGGAUAACUUCGGGAAACCGGUGCUAAUACCGGAUAAUAUAUUGAACCGCAUGGUUCAAUAGUGAAAGACGGUUUUGCUGUCACUUAUAGAUGGAUCCGCGCCGCAUUAGCUAGUUGGUAAGGUAACGGCUUACCAAGGCAACGAUGCGUAGCCGACCUGAGAGGGUGAUCGGCCACACUGGAACUGAGACACGGUCCAGACUCCUACGGGAGGCAGCAGUAGGGAAUCUUCCGCAAUGGGCGAAAGCCUGACGGAGCAACGCCGCGUGAGUGAUGAAGGUCUUCGGAUCGUAAAACUCUGUUAUUAGGGAAGAACAAAUGUGUAAGUAACUAUGCACGUCUUGACGGUACCUAAUCAGAAAGCCACGGCUAACUACGUG